GGGACACCCCUAUGGAGCAGGACUUGUUUCAGUGGGGCUUUGGUGCUCAUUGAGUCUGCCCCUUAAGUGUGUGUUGCU
rfam:Myotis davidii contig191573, whole genome shotgun sequence.